CCAGCACUGCAUCACUGACACGCGCACACACACACACACACACACAUAUCUCGGACGUGAUAUUCACAUGGACAGAGAGUGAUGAGCUGAACAUCUACGGAGCUAGCAAACCAUUCUCUUCUGAACGUGUGUCAUUAGAAAGGUGAUGAUGUUUAUGGUGUGUUUGGUAGGUUAGGGAGGUGAGCGCUGACAUUGAUUAGCAUGAGCUUAUGAUGACACAGAGGCACGUUGGGACCUAACCUCCUGAGCACCGCCCAAACGGAGUUCUGUUCUUGUCCCCUAAGCAGGCGGAGAACAGGGCUUCCUGAUGUGAGGAAAAUAUGCUCUGAAGCUGCUGAAUAUCACAAUAACCACAGUACCACUUGUGACAAAUAAAACAUAUUAAAGUGUACUCAGUUCUGCUGCUUUCAGUAUACUGCUAAAAUACUGCUAGUUGCUUUUUGAAUUAGAAGGAAAAGAGGAAAUUAUUUCCAACGUUGUUAAUUUGGACAAUUGAACAUUGAACUGGAGAAGCACAAUUAAAAACAAAAA